CCUACGGGAGGCAGCAGUGAGGAAUAUUGGUCAAUGGGCGCGAGCCUGAACCAGCCAAGUAGCGUGAAGGAUGACUGCCCUUCGGGUUGUAAACUGCUUUUAUAAGCGAGAAAUAUGAUGGUAACUUAUGAAUAAGGAUCGGCUAACUACGUGCCAGCAGCCGCGGUCAUACGUAGGAUCCGAGCAUUAUCCGGAGUGACUGGGUGUAAAGAGUUGCGUAGGUGGCAUAAUAAGUAGCUAGUGAAAUCUGGUGGCUCAACCAUUCAGACUAUUAGCUAAACUGUUAAGCUCGAGACCGUUAGGGGUAACUGGAAUUUCUAGUGUAGGAGUGAAAUCCGUAGAUAUUAGAAGGAACACCAAUAGCGUAGGCAGCUUACUAAACUGCCACUGACAUUGAUGCUCGAAAGUGUGGGUAUCAAACAGGAUUAGAUACCCUAGUAGUC
rnacentral:rRNA from 1 species